CAGUCGCCGCGGUAAUACGUAGGGUGCGAGCGUUAAUCGGAAUUACUGGGCGUAAAGCGUGCGCAGGCGGUUAUAUAAGACAGAUGUGAAAUCUCCGGGCUCAACCUGGGACCUGCAUUUGUGACUGUAUAGCUAGAGUACGGUAGAGGGGGAUGGAAUUCCGCGUGUAGCAGUGAAAUGCGUAGAUAUCGGAAGGAACACCAGUGGCGAAGGCGGCUACCUGGAUUGACACUGACACUGAGGCGCGAGAGCGUGGGGAGCAAACAGGAUUAGAUACCCCAGUAGUCCCUGUCUCUUAUAC
rnacentral:rRNA from 1 species